AUAAUGUUCUCAUCCCUCCCUGUCACUGUCACAAGCCUCAACUCAGUGAAAAGACUUUCCCUUACACCCUGAAAGCAUGGCUACUUCAAGGAUCCACAAUCCACGUGCCGUAGCUGGGGGAAAAUCGUGUCUGCCCUUCAGGACCUCCUGGCCCAGCUGAAGCAGAAAGGAGACUCCAGCAAACAGCCAUAGGAUGGCCCGACACACACCCAGUGUGCAGGCACUGGGAAAGAGCAAUCGGGACGUUCACUCGGGGUGUGCUCACUCCAUGCCACCCUCUUGGAGACACUUGGGUGAGCCUUUAGUUCAUGCAGAGCUCUGGGCCGCGAUUCGCCAGCUCCAGGGCCUUGAGAAUGUUGCUUCAUUCCCUGCCAGUUACCCCAUCAGUAAAAUACCAUGGUGAGUCAGUUCCCUCCGAGGGCGACUGGGAGGCAUGGUGGAGUAAUGUGGGGAAGGCAGUAAAAGAACCUAAUAAUCUGCACAAUAAACAAUGCGGUCCUUCUCAUUAUUUGAAUCGAACAACUGCAGAAACUGUGGAGCUGGACAGGGCGCUUGCAGUUUCCGGGAUCUCAGGUAACUGUGGAAAGUAAACCAGAAGCUCAUCACCAGCAGCAGCCAGCAGCGACUGCGGCGCUCCUAAGACCUUCACCAUAGGUCUCUCAACUCAAACUCCACUCUGCCCCUCCUGGUGACCACUCCUACCAGAGAGUAGGUGGGACAGCCAAUGGCUCAAGAUGAUGGUUCAGCCUCCCCAGCAUUGGGAUUUCAGGUGUGAGUCACCAACACUUUAGGCUUUGGUGUUUUUUAAGUUGGAGGGAAAGGAAAGAAAGCCAGGCUCCUGUUGCUGGGUGCUGGGACCGAUGAAGAAGGGUCCUGGGCUGUUAACUAAACUCAGGCUAAGAUAUCCAGAGCUGAAGGGCAACAUCAGUCUUUUACUUGACAUUUUUGAUUGAGCCUGCUCCAGAACGGGCACACCCCGGAUGAUGCGCACAUAUUAUCUAUCAUCUUAAGUCUCUGUACCUCCAUCGUUAGCCCCCAAAAAUAAUCACUCUACUAUGAACUGCAUAAAGGUCUGUCUUUUUUUCCACAGUGUAAAAAGUGAAGAUUUCCCAGGUCUCCGAGAAGGACUAAGUGUAAGGUUACUAACCCUUGCUGUAAUGCUACCCCGGCCCUUCUUCGCCUUAUGGGCUUCGGGGCACCCGCGGGCUGGAACGCGCCUCCUUUUGGGCUUCGGUUUUCAAGCGUGAGAACGCCGGGUGACGUCAGGGCCCAGGUGUUCCCGGGAGCGCGCGCUCCUGGCGCAGCGCGAUCCCGGGAGCGGACUCUCGGGACAGGGAGGCGCAGUCCCCAGGGCUCGCUCCCGUGUGCGCUCCGGGACGCCCCGCGCCGCGCUGACUUACCCAGAAGUUCCCCUUGAACAGUGAGCCCGUCAUGCCGGCGCUGGGCUGGGAGCGGAGGACGGAGGGCGGCUGAGAUCGGCGGAGAGCGGGAGGACAGCGGGAGGACGGUCGGAUCGCGCCGAGAGCUCAGACUGUCAGGGACAAGGUCCAGCCGCAACUUCGGAGUUCCACUGUCGCCCCGGGAAGCCGCCCCGGGUCCUAAACCACGCCCGAUUGCGCCGCCCCGCGCCCCGCCCGCCUGCCCGCCCGCCCGCCUGCCGGCUCCGCGCACCUGCAGAGGGCCACCCGCCCUGGCCCUAGGGCGCGGCCGGUCCAGCAGCUCUGCGGGGGGCGGUGGCCAGUCCGAGCCCCAGCCUGCGGGACGUCUGGACGACCGACAGAACCGGUCCUUCUUCCUCCCGUUGCCCACUCGACUCUUCCCACCAAACCCUCUCGACCUAGAAAUUCAGACUGGAUCAGUAGAAACCCUAGGAGAUGCUUAAAACGUAGGAAGGCCUUCGCCUAUGGUGCUAAUGCUACAAGGAAUGGAGCGCACGCACCGCCCGGGAGGGGACUGCAAGCUUUAGUCUAAAAUGUCAAUUAAAAUGCGUUAUCCGUGUUUCCUUUUAACUUUGCAUAUCUUAAUCUAAACUCAGUUGAGGUGUCUUUACCACCUGUCUCACCCGGCAGUAAAAGCCAGGCUGCUUUCUGCUCCCUCUAGGUUCCAACUCUCCUCAGAUAGAAAAACAGAGGCUCACACCGGUAAUCCCAGUACUGAGGGAGCUGAGACUGAAGAAUGUGAGUUCAAGCCCAGCCUGGGCUACAGUCUGAGGUUUUUUCCUCAUAAACAGACAAACCAAAUAGGACUCCAGGGCACGUCAAACUCCUCCUUGCUUGGUAAUAGACGAAGUUCUCUGUUCAGUGUGCCCAGCGUCCAGCCUGAAACUCAAGAGAGCUAAAAGAUUGCCCAGGUUCACACUUAUGUAGGGGAUGGAGAGACCAAAGCUAGAAAAGUCUGUCCUUCUUAACAGGGCCAAUGUCUUUCUGGGUAAGAAGUGUUCGUAGGGAAGAGAGUGAAGGUUAAGUUGCCAAGGCUGACAUCGAGCCAGUUCCCCGUCAUGCAUUCGCCUCUGCAGCAGAUUCUAGUUAGAUCCUGGCACAGCACAUGACAAUCUUGGGAUGACUAGAAGCGCUCACAGGUUUCUGCUCAGUAACUCUACUCCCAAGUCCUACCAGUAGGGCCAUCUGUAACGACAGGGAUGCGCGAGAGCCCCCAGCCCUGUUACUCUCCAAGGACAAGCAUCCAUCAACCAGGUUCUUCACUGAGGUUAGGGGACUGGCUGAUUUAAAAGAGGACUUGGGCUCAAUUUCCAGUAGCCACAUGGCAGCUAACAGCAAUCCUUAACUCCAGAUUCAAGGACUCUGACACCCACUUAGUAUGUUUUCCUAACAAGGGCAUGCAGGUGGUGCACAGACAUAUAUGCCUGCGAAACACCCAUACAUGUAAAAUAAUAAA
ensembl:processed_transcript